rnacentral:rRNA from 1 species
GAAAGCGGCGGACGGGUGAGUAACGCGUAGGCAACCUGCCUCAUACAAAGGGAUAGCAUCUGGAAACGGAUAUUAAUACCUUAUAACACCUUUAGUUCACAUGAACUUUAGGUCAAAGAUUUAUCGGUAUGAGAUGGGCCUGCGUUUGAUUAGCUAGUUGGUAGGGUAACGGCCUACCAAGGCGACGAUCAAUAGCCGACCUGAGAGGGUGAUCGGCCACACUGGAACUGAGACACGGUCCAGACUCCUACGGGAGGCAGCAGUGGGGAAUAUUGCACAAUGGGCGAAAGCCUGAUGCAGCAACGCCGCGUGAGUGAUGAAGGCCUUAGGGUCGUAAAGCUCUGUCCUAAGGGAAGAAUAAAUGACGGUACCUUAGGAGGAAGCCCCGGCUAACUACGUGCCAGCAGCCGCGGUAAUACGUAGGGGGCAAGCGUUAUCCGGAAUUAUUGGGCGUAAUGAGUACGUAGGUGGUCUUACAAGUCUCGGGUGAAAGGCUAUGGCUCAACCAUAGUAAGCCUUAGAAACUGUAAGACUUGAGUGCAGGAGAGGUAAGUGGAAUUCCUAGUGUAGCGGUGAAAUGCGUAGAUAUUAGGAGGAACACCAGUGGCGAAGGCGACUUACUGGACUGUUACU